AGUGACGAGUUCCAAUUAUAUGGGCGAAGUGGCGAUCCUACGGUAAAUACACGAUGGAGAGCUGAGCAAUGAUUCAAUAUUAAUGAGGAAAGGGAUAAGAAAUAUGAAAAGUGUGGCACGAUAGGCGAGCAAAACGGUUCAUGUGUCUCGUUGUCGACACAAGGUGUCUCGAGUGACCCAGGCCUUUGAUUGAACAGUUGCACAGCCCAGCCGAGGUAGCUCAACGCUCCAUCUCUCAGUGGAUAUAUAGAAUACGUUCUCUACACACGUAUCAAGUUGACGGAAAUCUGGAAACACCAAUGAUGGCUUAUGCCCAUUUACCGUUUCCUGCCACGACCACCAAUCUACCAACAACGCAGAUGAGCCCCCCAAGUUCUGCCCCGACCCCCCGGGCUUGUUGUGAAAACGGUCGGCCAGUUAUGACUGACCCCCACACUGGCCAGACUAUUUGCUCUUGUCAGUACGGGUCAGCUCUUCUCAAUUCCUACCAGCGACUCCCGGGACUAGCUUCCAACCUCCUGGGUGCUGCCCCAUACAGCGGGACUGGGACACAGGGAUAUGUCGGACUGGGAUCCGAGGGCUCUGCUUUCUAUAGUCCACUUGGUGCACCGGGAACCAACAUGAGGGAUGGAGCCGAGGCGUGGCGCUCCCUCACCCAACCCGCCUUCACAUACGAACCCUCAGUGGGGUUCUAUCCUUACGGAGCCGGAUACGGUGGCCUAGACCUCAAUGCUAGAAGGAAGAACGCUACAAGAGAGAGCACCAACACCCUGAAAGCGUGGUUGCAGGAACACAUAAAGAACCCCUACCCCACAAAGGGGGAGAAGAUCAUGCUGGCCAUCAUCACAAAGAUGACCUUGACCCAAGUGUCCACGUGGUUUGCCAACGCCAGAAGGAGGCUAAAGAAAGAAAAUAAAAUGACGUGGUCUCCUCGGAACCGUGGGGAUGACGAUGACAACUCCGGCGACGAGCGAGAUGACGACGAUGAGAAAGCUGAUGAGGGAAAACUUUGCGAUAAAGAUGGUGAGACCAAAGAGGAAGAAAUCGAUGUUGAAGCGGAUUUAUCUCAUGAUCUAGGUCGUGACAAGCCAGUCUCAGACUCGAACCACAAGUCCAAGUGUUCUGGUCUCUUUCCCGAUGAUGAAUGUGUUUCCCCAGUUCCGAGUGUGGGGAGGAUUCACGCAGUCGGUUAUCUCCCCCUCAAUCACGUGACUCAGACUCUUAUACAAGUGACGGUCUCAACCAAUCAGACUGCGAGCACGAUUCACAGCAGAAACCAAAAAUUUGGUCCGUGACAGACUUUUUGCACACUACGUCAUCAAAAGCUGUGCCCACGUCACCCAAAACAUGUGAGAAAAGUGACUCUGUGCGUAGUUCAAGGACAGUGAAUCUUUCAAAUGGACAUGACUUGCAUACGGGUACCUCCGCGCACAGUCCCCUCUUUUCAUCAUACCCCAACCCAGCCGGGUACUCCAACCCCUCAUCGUACCCCUUCUCACUCACUAGUCAAGGUUUGGGCAAGACAUCGGUUCGGCCGUCCUUUGGGAGAUUCAACCCUUACCCUACAGCUCGCCCGACCCCCGCAGACUCGGUUUUCUCUACCCCACGGGAUUUUAGCAUAGUGCGGGAGGAUUCGGAUGUGUCGGAUGCUUUGAACCUGUCUCUAUGAUAACACCUUACAGAUUUAAUCAAGAUAAAUUAAUGCAUUUUAGAUAUAAAUUUUAUAUUAGAAAUUAUUUCUUUUGAAAUAAUUCUCGACAUGUAUUAUUUUUAUGUUAUCAACAUGAAAGGGAUAGGGUAUUGUUUUAUAAACCAAAAAAAAAUCUUGAGCGUAGGAAAUAAGUAUAAAACGUGAUCGUGUUAAUAAAAGAGUCCGUUUAGUAAUUUUUGUUUGUACUCAAUGUUAUUAAACAUACCCUGUUACGGAACAUUGAAAGCUAUCGGUCUUGCUGUAUAGCGUAAGGAACUGUAGACCUGUUGGUAUCAAAUGUUCAGUCGACGUAGGCCAAGGACGACGAUGUCGAAACCAGACUCACCGGGAACAGUCGCCACUGAUGUCGUGGCGAUACGACGGCGGAAUCUGCGACAUCGCAUCUUAUCACUAUCCGAUCUACAUGUACAGGUGUUUAGGUUCUCAGUUGACAUGCAUGAGUUUCUAGGGUCGACUAUUAUGCAGUAUCAUGAUGGAAUGAAUACUUAUAAUAAAGAAAGCUUUCUUUCAAAAGCG
rnacentral:misc_RNA from 1 species